rnacentral:lncRNA from 1 species
UAGCUGGAAGUCAAGCCAGUUAUGUGAAUCAAAACGGUGAGGAGGGAAUCAACAUUCAUGUCAAUCUUCAUGGUCAGAAAUCAAAUGACUCCUUUUUGUAUCGUAAUUCUGAGUAGCUUGCACUUUCUUAACUGAAUAUGGGUUCAAUGUAAGCUCUUUGUGAGUGAACACAAUCCUGAAUGUGUGACUCUUCUCUAGAGACUGGCGAUGAGCUGAAUAAUCGGCCUCAAAGUGAAUACAUAACUGUUCUUCCCGAUUCCCCGAUCACACAGUCUCAGGGACCCAGCCGAGCUUCAUCCCAGAGCUCAGGAGAAUGCUACAUAAAUGUAAAAAAAGAUGAAGAUGUACCUGAAGAUAUAUGUGAGGAUCAGAUGUAUGUGGAUGAAUCAGACUCAGACAUUCCCGAUUAUGAAAAUUUCGAUAAUUCUCCAGGCCACCGAAAAAAAAGCCAUAGUCUGUCCCGUGGAAGUCAAAGCAGUGAUGAACGGAACAGCUCUGAUUAUGUCAACACAGGCCCUAACUUACAGUAAUCAAGAAUCUGCCUUUUACCAAAUAAUGACAGAUAGCAAGGUCAGAGGCCUAACCAUCAUCCUGACUGCCAGAGGACUUUCCAGAUUUAAUUAUGCUUUGAACUUUGAAGUGCAUUACCAAGAAAGCAUUGAACCAGUGUCACCUCAGAAAAGUUCCUCCCUCAAUCCUUAUGACAGAUUUGCUGACAAUACCUGAGAAUGUUUUUAUUAGUUUUUUUCAUUGUUGUCCAAGUGAUUGGACGGCUGUGUAAAAAGGGACCGUGACGAGCUCUGCGUUUCACCCAAAGUUAAAGAGUAAAAAAAACAAACAAACAAAGACAGGGCAAAUGAACUCGUUAAAUAUCAUUAUAAUACAUAGUGCAUGAAAAAAUGCAGUGCCAUCAGUUUGUCUAAAAGAAUAUAGAAUGUUUGAAUAUUUUAUGCACGUGGUAGGGAGCAGGUGUCAAUUUUUCUUCGUACCAACUAACAUUUUAAAAUAACUAAUCAUAAUUACGAAUCCGAAAAUUUACGUCAGAAUGACUUACCGAAAGAUUUACACAAACUUUUGUUCUGCUUGUGUUUCAUGAAUGCACUGCAUCCUCAAUUUUAAAUUUCACAUGUAUGCAAUUUUGUCGAUAAAUACAAGCAGUCAGAUAUAUGAACUGUACCUGAU